rnacentral:lncRNA from 1 species
AAACUAGUACCUAAAUUUCAGUCAUGUCACUUCCUAUAAAGGGGUUUGUCUCUGUUUAAUUUGUGGUAUCAACACUACAAACCACUUGAACUGUCAAGGGAAAAGAUCCAUCAAUGAGUUUACUACAAUGGCUGAAAGAAUGCUCCAAACCUACCUUGUUCGUUGUAACUAUUUUUCUAGUAGUAGUGCUCAAGUUUCUCAUGAAGGACAAGCUGAAAAAGAGGAAGCUCAAUCUCCCACCAAGCCCUGCAAAAUUGCCAAUCAUUGGUAACCUUCACCAGCUUGGUAAUAUGCCUCACAUCUCUCUCCGAGGGCUUGCCAAGAAGUAUGGUCCCAUCAUUUUCUUACAGCUUGGGGAGAUCCCAACUGUAGUGAUUUCAUCAGCUGGAUUGGCAAAAGAAGUCCUGAAAACUCAUGAUCUUGUAUUGUCUAGCCGUCCGCAGCUCUUUUCAGCCAAACACUUGUUGUAUGGUUGCACUGAUAUCGCUUUUGCUCCUUAUGGUGCUUACUGGAGGAAUAUAAGGAAGAUUUGCAUACUUGAGCUACUCAGUGCCAAGCGUGUCCGUUCGUACAGCUAUGUUAGAGAAGAAGAAGUUGCUCGCUUGAUUCGUCGGAUUGCAGAAUCUUAUCCUGGCAUCACCAAUCUAAGCUCGAUGAUUGCACUAUAUGCCAAUGAUGUUCUUUGUCGGGUUGCGCUAGGAAGGGAUUUCUCUGGAGGAGGAGAGUAUGAUCGGCACGGGUUCCAAAAGAUGCUUGACAAUUUUCAAGCAUUGCUUGGAGGAUUCAGUCUUGGAGACUAUUUUCCUUCGAUGGAGUUUGUGCACAGUCUAACUGGAAUGAAAUCGAAACUCCAGUACACCUUCAGACGGUUUGAUCAGUUCUUCGAUGAGGUGAUAGCUGAGCACCGCAAUUCUAAGGGAAAACAAGAGGAGAAGAAGGACCUUGUUGACGUUCUACUUGAUAUUCAGAAGGAUGGAUCUUCUGAAAUUCCUCUCACCAUGGAUAACAUUAAAGCUGUCAUCUUGGUCAGUGAAGAUUUUAUUGGUCUAGUUAUACCUUCAAGGCUUCAACUUCAGUGUUCCAAGCAUCAAAUUACUUGAAGAUGAGUUCAUUUGCACACAACUUACAACUAAAGGGUAUAAUUAUGGUUCUAUUGUUGCAGGACAUGUUUGCUGGAGGAACAGAUACCACCUUCAUAACCCUUGAUUGGGCAAUGACAGAGCUUAUCAUGAAUCCUCAUGUCAUGGAGAAAGCACAAGCUGAAGUACGAAGUGUUGUCGGAGACAGAAGAGUGGUGCAAGAGAGUGAUCUGCCCCGGCUGAACUACAUGAAAGCUGUUAUCAAAGAGAUCUUACGGUUACAUCCUGCCGCUCCAGUUUUACUCCCAAGAGAAUCUUUAGAAGAUGUUAUAAUUGAUGGCUACAACAUUCCAGCUAAAACUCGGAUUUAUGUCAAUGUCUGGGGAAUGGGGAGGGAUCCAGAACUGUGGGAAAAUCCUGAAACUUUUGAACCAGAAAGAUUUAUGGGCAGCGGUAUAGAUUUCAAGGGGCAAGAUUUUGAGCUGAUACCAUUUGGAGCAGGUAGAAGAAGCUGCCCAGCCAUCACAUUUGGAAUCGCAACCGUUGAAAUUGCUUUAGUUCAACUCCUCCACAGCUUUGAUUGGAAGCUUCCUCCUGGCCUUGAAGCAAAGGAUAUAGACAAUACAGAAGCUUUUGGCGUCUCAUUGCACAGGACAGUUCCCCUGCAUGUCAUUGCAAAACCACACUUCAAUUGAUGCAAGAAGUGUCAGGAUUUUAUUAGUCUGUCAACUAGAAUCUGUAAUUUUCUUUCCGAAUAAAAGUACUACUUGUGGUUUGCUUGUAAAAAGAAAGCAGAACUUGGGUACGACUUAACUCCUGCCUUAGUCCUUGCUGCUGGAACUUGGACACUAGAAUCAGUUAUAAGUUGUGUCACCUUUGCGCUUCAAUCAAUCAUAAUACUGCAAGGACAAAAUGCUUGUCUCUGAGAACUACUCAUUUCCUCAUGUCAGAUAAAUAAAUAAGAAAAAAAAAACCAUUUUCCUUCAUCAAAUGCAUUCUUUGGCUCAACAAAUGAGAUUAAGACAAAGGGGUUCAUACCAAAUGAAUGUCUACGAUGCAGCAAGUAGAUGCCUGAUCUGCUUUGCCUUGGAACCAGAUAGCUUGACAUUUCAAAAAAGAAAGGAAGCACCAUCCAUGACAUUGAGCACUGUUUAUGGAUAUUGAUUAUAGAGACACAUAAUUCAGAGCAUAUACAUCAUCUUACAAGGAAGAAACCCAUGCCUAGACACAACAUGAUUGAACAUUAAAGACAUGAUAUGGAGGUAUGUGCUUGGCAUUCUAAACUACUCUUGGUUUAAAAAUUGGGAUACCAUUCAAUCUCAUAUGUCAGUAAGAACGCAAAAAACAUGCUCUCUGGUGAAUCAAUCAACUGCCUUCAAGCUCAACUCGAUGUGAUCUUAUAUCCUGAAUACACGAUCCACUUGCUGAGCACCAAUAAACAAGGCAUCUGCAACAAGAAAUACUCCAACCUGUGCUGGAAACAAAGACAUUAAUAUCCUACUAAUCUAACAACUGGACUUUGCAGAUGAUUUUACAGAAAAAAAAUUAAGGAAAACACUAUGAUUACCAGACGAGCAGAGAACAAUAAUAGAUAACCCCAACCUUCUUUGACAGCAGCAGCCCUUUGUUGAUCUGUCCACCUGAAAGUCAUAGGGGAAUUAGCUAUAAAUUCAAAAAAUGGAAAGAUCAAAUAUAAGAUAACAGUUUGAAAAUUUAUAUGGCCAAAGACAUUCAUCUGUCAACCUAAAGUGCAUACUAGGAAUUUUUUAACAGGAAAAGAACGAGUCCCACAUGGAAGCCUGCCUACAAGCAGAUAUACUCAAAGUUACAUGGAUCAAAGUAAUAAAGCCAAUUUAACUUAUAAGUAUUUACAGGAAUUUGACCAUUCAUGUUCAUGGAAAGUCAUGGAUGUAUUUUCCACAUAUUUGGGCAUGAAAACAUCAUGGAAAAAACUUAUGUAUUCAAUGGUAACACAAACUUUUUCCCUGCAAAGUUAAAUACUAAAAGGUAGUAAAGACGAGGCAUGCCCCAGGAACUCAGAAACCCCAUCAAUUCCAGCAAACUUACAAGGUUGAGGGCCUUCACUGACAAAAUCCUUGUUUUGAAUCAUUAAACAUUUCUUUACUUGAUUAGCCAAAGAAAAGAAUUGCCCACCAAUUCUCUUAAAGCCAUCGAGUUUCAAUAUAUAUCAGUGUCCAUCUCAUGGUUUCCUUAUGUUGCAUUAGAAAAGAAAGGAAUUCUCAUCUUGAUCAUCCAAUCAAUGUGUUUACUAUUGCUUGGACAUCCAGAGAAUAUCAAGAACUUCUCACAGUUACCCAAGUUAUUUGAAGCCAAAAGUUCACUCCUUCAAAUAAAAUUAUUGCAUAAGAUGCUAUAAAGCUCAAGUCUAUGAAAUGAAUCAGACUGAAAUGUUUGAGUGGUAUCGUAUAUCCAUCUUAGUUACAUAAAAUCAAACAGUCGCAUCUCUGACUCAGUGAUAAAUUACAUUGUGCAGUCCACAUAUUGUAUAACAGUCUUGCUUGACAUUUAACUAGAAUAAAAUGAUUCUUCUGGAAUUAUAAGAAUCAGUGCAAACAUAAAAUGACAAAUUUACUCCUACAAAUGCAUAUUGAUAGAUUGAUAUCGGCAGUUAUUAAGCUAAGAGUUCACCUCAAUCCUCUCUGGCAUGCAACAAUAAGGUCUGCAUCUUUCGGGAACUUCUCCUCGACCUUUCCACCAACCUCCUACAAAAACACAAGCCAUGUAAGAUGACUGCACUAUGCCCAAGGAACAUUCUUCUUAUUUAAGUUUCUGUUCAGGUGCUCCAUUAAACGUGACAGCAUAUUAAGUUAGUAUGUAAAAGUAGUGUAGCAGAGCUUGCCGCGUUUUGUUAUAGAACUAGUUACAUGACCCGCGCGCGAUACCGCGGGUUAAUUUUUUUAUAUAAAAAAUAUAAAAAAAAUUAAGAUCUAAAACUAAAAGUGUUAGGUCUUUCAGCAAAACUAUACCCAAGAGUCUUGGGUUUGGCUGCAACGCCUGACCCAAGAGUAAUAUUUAUAAUAUUAAUAAUAACAUUAAACUUGCAUGAUCCAAAUUUAAGUGGGUCUGGCUGCAAUACCAGACCUAAUAGCCUUGGAUGUGGGUUUUGUUGCAAUGUCGUAUCAUAAAAGUGUGAUAAUUAAAUAGAUUAAUUAAAAAGAAAAAAAACCAAAAGAAAGAAAAAAACUAAUGAAGAAAAAAAAAUCUGAAUUAACUGGAUUAACCCUUUAAACCAGGUUAACCCGUCAAACCUUAGAUUCGUGUCGUGAAAGUUUGAUAACUAAAUAGAAAAAAAAAUUGACGGGUUAACCCAGAAUUAGCUGGGCUAACCCGUCAAACCAGGUUACCUCUUAAACUCGAGAUCCGUGUCAUGAAAGUUUGAUAACUAAAUAGAAAAAAAUUGAACAUUAACAAACUAAAUUAAACGAAAAAAAUUAAUUAAAAAGAAAAAAAACAAAAACAAACAAAAGGCAUCAACCUUUUACUAAUGAGGAAAAAAAAAUCAGAAUCAACUGAGUUAACUCGUCAAAUCAGGUUAACCAGUCAAAUAUUGGAUUCGUGUCACGGAAAUGUGAUAACUAAAUAGAAAAAAGAUUUAAUAUUAAUGAACUAAAUUAAAAAAAAGAUUAUUUAAAAAGAAAAAAGCAAAGAGAAAAAAAACCUACAAGAAGAAAAAAACUAAUGAAGAAAAAGAAAAAAAAUCUGAAUCAACUGGGUUAACCCGUCAAACCCGGGAUCCGUGUCGUGAAAGUCUGAUAAUUAAACAGAAAAAAUUUAAUAUUAAGAAACUAUAGAAAAAAAACUAAAGGCAUCAGCUUUUUCACUGUGGACUACACGGUGCAGUCCACAAUAAAAGGCUUAAAAAGGAAAAGAAAAAGAAAAAAAAACAAAGGCAUACGCCACGGGUUAAUUUUUUUUUCUUGCAUAAAAAAUAUCAAAAAAGGCUAAGAUCUAAAAGUGUUAGGUUUUUCUGCAAAGAUAUAUCCAAGAGCCUUGGGUCUAGCUGCAACGCUUGACCCAAGAGUAAUAUUUAUAAUAUUAAUAAUAAUAUUAAAUUUACAUGACUCAAAUUUAAGUGAGUCUGGCUGCAAAACCGGAUCCAAGAGCCUUGGAUGUGGGUUUGGCUAUAAGAUCGUGUCAUAAAAGUGUGAUAAUUAAAUAGAUUAAUUAAAAAGAAAAAAAACAAAGAAAAAAACCAACAGGAAAAAAAAACAAAUGAAGAAAAAGAAAAAAAAUCUGAAUUAACUGGGUUAACCCUUCAAACCAAGUUAACCCGUCAAAUCUGGGAUUCGAUUCAUGAAAGUUUGAUAACUAAAUAGAAAAAAAAAAUUGACGGGUUAACUCAGAAUUAAUUGGGUUAACCCAUCAAGCCUGGGAUACGUGUCAUGAAAGUCUGAUAAUUAAAUAGAAAGAAAUUUAACAUUAACAAACUAAACUAAACGAAAAAAAUUGAUUAAAAAGAAAACAAGCAAAAAAAAAUUCCGGGUUAACUCGUCAAACCCGAGAUCCGUGUCAUGAAAGUCUGAUAACUAAAUAAAAAAAAAUUCACAUUAACAUACUAAAUUAAACAAAAAAAUUUCAUUAAAAGAAAAAAACACAAAGAAAAAAGCAAACAAAAACCUAUAAAGGCAUAAAAAACAGAAAAAAAACAAAAACAAUUAAAAACAAAAAAAAAACAACUAAGAGUUUCACUGUGCAGUGCACAACUGCACAGUGAAACACUGAUGCAUAAAAGGCGCGGGGAAAGCUACAGUACUUUCCCCACGCCUUUUAGAGUAUUGUUAAUAGUUUACAAGAUAGGUGGUUUGCGGUACAUUUAUAAAUAAUAUGAAUAAUUAUUGUAAUGACAGUUAGUUAAAAGUUAAAUUUGUGAUUGUUUUAAUAUUCCAGUUAGAUUUGGUGUUUAAAUAACUUAGAUUUGAUGGCAAUAACAGAACUAAAUUAUUUGGGUUUAGAGUCUCUGUGGACUUAAGUUUUAUGGGUUUGUUUUUACUACAUAUCUAAGUUAUAUGUGUUUGUUUUUACUAUCUGAUCCAAGUAACUUGAGUCUGAAGUGCCAGCCAGAUCUAAGUUACUCGAGUUUAGUAUUUUUGUCGGAUCCAAAUUUCUAACGUAUAAUAAUAAUAAUAAUAAUAAAAAUAUUUAUAAUAUUAAUAAUAAUAUUAAAAUUAUCUUAACUAAGUUUUUAUAGUUUUUAAUUCCUUCAAAUUAAAUUUAUGGUUUUUCUUCGACAGCAACAAUUUUUUUUAAAAUUUAUUAUUAAUAAUAACAAUAAUUAUUAUUUUUACCCUUCAAAUUAAAUCUAUGGUUUUUUUCAAUAGUAAUAUUUUUUUUUCAAAUUUAUUAAUAAUUAUAUUAAUAAUAAUAUUUAAAAUAUUAAUAAUAAUAAUAAACAUAUCUGACCCAAGUUCUUAUAAUUUUUAAUUCUACCCUUCAAAUCAAAUAUAUGAUUUUUCUUCGAUAGUAAUAAUAUAUAUUUUUUAAAAAUUUAACAACAAAAACAACAAUAACAAUAAUAAUUUUUAAUUUUAUCUUUUAAAUCAAAUAUGGUUUUUUCUCAAUGAUAAUAAUAUUUGUUUUUAAAUUUAUUAAUAAUACUAAUAAUCAUGAAAAUAAUAAUAUUAAAUAUAUCUUAUCCAAGUUUGAAAGGGUGUGCUUGCUCGGGAGAAGAGGGAAAUGGAAUAUUGAAAGGGAAAUUUGGGUUACAAAACUUAGGCUAAAAAGAAGAAGGGGAAGGCAAAGGUAAAGGAAAUUGGUGUUUGGAGAGAACGAAAAUAUAUCGCUAUAGAAAUAGUUUCGAUGUAAAAUUUAAUUAAAAAAAAAAAACUAAGAGUUCAAAUAUCAAGAGAAUGGGGGUGAGUUUUUUUAUUAAGGGUUUGUUUGAGAUUGUAAUAGCGAUUACGGUUUAAACUGACUUUUAUUUAGAAAUGUAUUAAAACAAAGUUUUUUUUAUAUUUUAAAAAUUGUUUUUAAUAUCAACACAUCAAAAUGAUCUAAAAACAUAAAAAAAAAAUUAAUUUUAAAUAAAAAAAUUUCUAAAAUUUAUAGAAAAACAAUUUACAUCGCUUUUCCAACCUAGAAUUUGUUUAGAGAGACGCCAAGACAUAAUAGUCAGAUGCAUUUCCAACCCUUUGCUCAUAAUAGUCACUGACUCCUUUUCUUGAAAAGCUCUGAUACCAAACAAUUGCUAGUCAUUAAUUUCCACAGCUUUUAAACUUUUUACAUUUUCUUUUGAUAAAUGACCCGUAAAUUCAUUACAAGAAAGGUCCACAUGAUAUGUCAAGAAUCCAAAAUGUUCAAGGAAUAUAUUAUUUGAUGUUUUGAUAAUAAUAAUUUUUUUUAAUUUUAACAAUUUGAUAUAUUUGGUAGCUUGUAUUUGAUAGCCCUGAUAUUUUUACCUUUGUUUUAAUUUUUUUUUUGCUACUUUUACUGUCUAUCCAUGGUUUAGUAUCAUGUGAGUAUUUCUUAUUACUGAAAUUUGAAACAAUAUUAAUUGUUUUAAUUCUAUAACGAUUAAAAAUGUAAUUUUUUGUUUUUUUAUUCAAUUUUUAUUAUUUUUCUAUAAAACAUAUUUUAAAGAAUAUAAAUUAUUUAUAAGAUUUGAAAAUAAAAAUUAAUUUUAGAGAAUAAAAAAAAAACAAAAAUUAAUAAGAUCAAACAAAUAAAUGACGGCUUAGCUGCACCAAGGCCUAGCGCCAAGGCGUAGAAGCUCAGCGCGACUAGACAAACAAAUAUUAAUAAAUUACAUAGUUUUGAAACCCGGCCGAUCUGGGGCUGGAAACGGGUCGGGUUGAAGAAAAAACAGGAGAAGAAAAAACCCGACGGGUUGACUUUUUUUUUAAUACUAAAACGACGUCGUUUUGAUUUAAAAAAAAGAAUUAACCCGGACGACCCGAUGACCCAGUCAAAACCCGGGACCCGGGCCUUGAACCAGGCCGGGUUCGAACACUAUGAUAAACUAUCAAUUUUUGUUCUCAAAACUCAAUUCUUUCACCAUUUUACCAACAAAAUAAUUCAAGAUCAUUCAUCAAGCUCUUAAGAACCCAAUUUCAACUAUAAAACUCAUUUUAAUUAAUAAAAAGAAAAAAAAAUAAAAACUCCAAAUUAAAUUAAAAAAAAUCAAUUAUAUUUCAAGGUUCAAUCUCUUUUUUUUUUUUUAACAAUUUCAAGAUUAGGAAUCACCAUCAAUAAAUACCUCUUACCAUGAUAAAGCUAUUCGACACCAAAAUGAACAAUUGUUGGGCUACUAAGGUGCUAGCAAAGUUCAAAAUGUAAUUGAUGAAAACGACCCACAUGCAAUUUUUGUCAAAACUUGUUAAACAAAUUCUAAGAAAUACCACCCAAAAAUGAAGGAAGUGCGAGAUGAUCUUGUUCAUUUUUAUUACUAAUUGAUGAGUAAAAUGUUUUAUACAUAACAAAUGACAAGUAACUUUAUAAAGGAUUUCCCAUGAAGCUGGGUUCAUAAGGAGGUUUAAGAGCUCAUUUGUUUUAUAUUUUAAAAGUGUUUUUGAAAUAAAUUGAAAUGAAUUUUUUUAUGUUUUUAAAUUAUAUUGAUGUGCUGAUAUUAAAAAUAAUUUUUUUUUAAAAAAAAUAUUUUAAUAUAUUAAAAAAACAUUUUAAAAAACAAUUAUUAUCAUACUUUUAAAUACCCUCUAAAUAUGUAGUUUUCAUAUGAGUUUGUUGCGUCAUCAAUUUUGAUUGUGGAUGACUGAACCCCAUGUCUUUCUUGAAUAAACCUUAUCAAUGGCUUUGAUGCUAGAGCAGACAGAGUUGGACUUGGGAAAAAAAUUACCAUGAAGUUAGGUUUGGAAAGAAUUACCAUGAAAUCGACGCUAAAGUAAAUCUAUUCAGAGAGUUUACCAGGCAAAACAUUCAUUGAUGUUGUGAGGAUUUGGUGAUGGAUGUGUUUGGAGAUAGAGGUAAGAGUUCUCUGAACUUGUACCAUUGCGAUAUAAUGAAUUUUUUUUUUAAUUAACAUGGAUGUCCGAGUUAGUUUGUAUGUACCUCGAUUAAUUUUAUGGACCCUGAAAUUAACGACUAUAUAAGCAUCCAGUGACCCUGAAGGAACUUGAACUCAUAACCAUUUGAAAGCAAAUUCAAAGUCUAACCAAUUAGCCAAGCCUUUAGUCGCCUUGAAAGAACUUAAACUUAUAAUCAUUUAGAAGUAAAUUCAAAACCUAAACAUUUGAGCCACCACUCAAAGUUAAAUUUUUUUUUUCUAUGGACGUAGGGAUAAUCAAGAUGUGAAACUAUUUAUUUGUGUAUGAUUGUUUUUUUAGUUUUUAAGAUGUUAUUCUCUUUAUCAGGUUGUAUGAUCUAAGAUUAAUUAGUGACAAAGCUUCAUAUUUGUUAUUUAGUUUUUAUUUGCGCUAAUCAUCAUAUAUGUCAUUGAUGACUUUUUUUUACUUGUAUAAAUAUACAAAUGAGGAAUAAUUAAUCUAAAAAAAUCAUCAACUUCUUACACAUCUUUUUUUUAUUGCAUUUUUUUAAAAACAGUGUUGUUGACCAUUUUUAUUUGUAUAAGUGUGAAAUAAUUAAUCCACAAAAAUCGUCAACUUUUUAUCCACAAAAUAGUAGAUGGUAGCCUGUUUGGAAGUGUGGUUGCGGUUAUUUUUUUAAGUGUUUUUUAUUCUGAAAUGUAUCAAAAUAAUAUUUAUUUUUUAAAAAUUAUUUUUGAUAUCAUCGCAUAAAAAUAAUAUAAAAACACCAAAAAAAUAUUAAUUAAAAAUAAAAAAAAUAAAAAAAUUAUCAAUUUUUUUUAAAAACACUUUUUAAAUGUAAAAACAAACAUGGCCUUAAGGCUGUACGUUAUCACUAUUUUCUGUGUAUAUAUACGCGUGUAAAAAUGUUUUCAACAUAGUAAAAAUUGCAUCAUAAAUAAUUGUAAUAUUUCAUAUGAAAGAAUACUUUAAGAAUAAUUUUUAUUUAUUUAUUUAAAUAACUAACUCAGAUUGAAUCUCUUAAACAUUUUCAAUUUGGGAGUUUUUAAUUCCCUGAAAUGACGAAUUCUUUAUCCUCCCCAACAUUUUCCAACCAGAAAUCACAUUUCCCGAGCCACUGCAGCGUCCAUCAAAAGAAGAAGUUAGUAUUUACAAGGGGAUGAAUAAAGCCUUGAGAAGAGUGGCAAUGCAACUCUCCUUGACGCCAUUGUUGAAGCGGUCCAAGAAUAUUUCUCCAUGAGAUUUGUCCAAGAUGACCUUUCCUGGAAGCUUUAUAUUAUUUUAUUAUAUACUAAGUCAAUGAGAUAUUGAUGAAGUGAGAAAUGAGUGAUGUUCAGUGUUUUGGAAGUCAUUAUUCUCCACCUUAUAUUUCUGGAGACGGGGAAAAAACCAAGAAGAAAGGUUGUAAAAUUUUCCAACGACAUGUCAUUUUCCUUGGAUUUCCAGAGGAUGCUUGCACCAAACCUCACAUAGUGUAGUGAAAUGCAAGAUCUCCAGAGGCUGUGAAUCGCCAGUCGUUCGCUGAUUUGAACACUGAGGUGCAUGUAUUGGAAAACGGAGCUCUGAGACAAAUUUCUACCUUCAAUUUCCAUCACCUUAUAGACUUUUCGAAGCUGUCAAUGACGUUUAUAGUCUGUUUCUUGCAUUAUCACAAGUGAGAACCUAAUGCGCAUAAAAUUCUAUUUCACUGUAUGAAAAUAGGGUGAGCUUUUAUAUAUCAGAAAAGGAAAAUUGGAUCCCAAUAAAUAAAGAUUACUAAUAAUAAUAAUAAUAAUAAUAAUAAUAAAGAAUUUUAAAAGUUUCAUUUAAUUAAUUAUAAGAUUCAAUAUUCAGAUUAUGAUUGAAUGAAUUAAAAAAAUUAAUUUUCUGUUGUUGAUAUUCAACGAUGCAUCUUCUAGAGGAUGUGGAAGUUGUAAAGUAAAGAUAGUUGCAGAAUGUGUAAAGGGGACAACGAGCACAACUGGACAAGAAUAGCCAGCCAAGUUGACGAUGACUCUGAGCCUGAGGAGGUAUGAGGUUGUAUUUUAAAGUAUUUUUUAUUUAAAAAUAGAUUAAAAUAAUAUUUUUUAUUAUUUUUUAAAUAAUUAUUUUUGAUAUUAUUAAAUUAAAAUGAUUUGAAAAAAUAUAUAAAAAAUAUUAAUUUAAAAUAAAAAAAUAAAAAAAAUAAUUUUAUUAAAAAAAACUUUUAAAAUACAAAACUAAACAGUACCGAUAUAUAUAUAUAUAUAUAUAUAUAUAUAUAUAUAUAUAUAUAUAUAUAUAUAUAUAUAUAUAAAUGAUAAAGACAACGGCGGUCAUCACAGAGAUGGCUAAUGGACCUUCUCUGCAAAAAAGAUCUGAAUCAGUAUAGCUACACUGGAAGGUUACAAGAGAACCUAAACCAUGAUGAUAUUUAACACAUGCUCAGGCUUGAUGUGAUGACAAUUAUUUAUUUAUUAUAUUUUUUUUUGUGCUAGAUGAUCGGAUAAAUUUUUUUCUAACAAUUUUUUUUUAAAAUAGUGAUAAUAUGAAAGAAUAUGAGUUACCUUGAAUAAUUCAUGAUUUAGAAUAAUUCAAGAGGAAGGAAGAAGAAAAAAAAAAUCAAGCUCCAAUAGUCUAAAGUCUAAUGAUAAAAUUAAAAAAAAAAUCAAAAAAAUCAAAAUUAAAUUGGGCUAAUAUUUGAAACAUGUAAUUUUAGUCAUGAGACCGAGUUGACCAUAUAGAAGACCAAAAACAAUCUCGAACAAAAUUCUAAAUCAUGUCAACACCCGUUAAUUUUAUUUUGCCAUUAUUUUUUUUAUCAAAAUAAUAUCAUUUUUACUUUCCGCACAAUAAAAAAUCUUAUUGAUCCUGGUAACCCUAGUUAUUCGACCCAACCCGUGAACCUGGACAUGACGGGGUAGACUCCCGAGCCAAUUUUUAAAAACAUAAUAAAAAAAUAAGCACCAAAUAUAAUAUGAAAAUUCAAUGAAAUUAAACAAUGAGACAUAAAAUUUCCACAAAACAAUCAAACAAGAAGAGAACUCAAAAUAAAAGAAAUUACAAUUAUAAAAAUGAGAAUCAAAUUCAAGAAAAAAAAAUUAAAAUCAAAUGAUUAGGGAUUAAAUGAAAAAAUAAAAUCCAAUCAGAAAAAUAUUAAAAGCAAAAUAAAUAGAAAUAAAAAAAAUGAGAAAUUGUAAUUGAAAAACAAUGCUAGUGAUUGAAAAACAAGUUUUUGUUAAAACAAUCAAGAUAAAUAUUAAUAAGAAAAUGAACUUUAAAUUAUAGAAAUACAUUUUUCCUACUCAUUUCUAUGGUUACAUUUUUUUUACAAACCUUUGUUGAUGCUUUUUAUUGAAAAAAAUACUAAAAUAAAAAAUUAUAUUUUUGUUUUUAAAAAGAUUAUGAUUUUUUCAUAAUAAUAUUAUCAAUUAAUUUAUGAAUAACUAUUUAUUAGCCGUAUAUGUAGAAUAUUUAAAAUAAUAUGUUCAUUAAUAAUAAAUUAAAACAAAAUAUUAGUUUUUUUAUUUUCUAAUUAUAUAUAUAUUAUAUAUAUAUAUAUAUUUAUUUUUCUCAUUUAUUUUUCCAUAUAGUUUUGGAAGAUCAUCAAUUCAUAUUUUUUUAAUUUAUUAAUUGAUGCUAGUUUUCACUAUUACAAUUAGUGUUUGCUUAAAAAAAAUCUCUUCACGAAAACAAAACAUGUUUUUGUCAAAAGUGAAAAACAAAUAUGAGUGAAUAAGAAAAUGUAUUUUUUUUAAUUAAAAACAUACUUUUUUGACUUUUCAUUUCAAUUUUGUUAAGUUUUUCCAAACUUUUUUUUAGUUGUUGUUUUUUAUUUAAUUAACUAUGAUGCUAAUAAAAAAACAAUUUUUGUUGUUAAAAAAAUACAUAAAUAAAAAAAAGAUAAUUUUAAUAAAUGGUCUUCGAGAGAAGGUAACACAUCCAUUUAUAGGGAUUUGUUUUUUGCAAAACCAGUACUAUAUUUUAUCAAACAAUUAUUUUAACUUAAUAAUUUAAAUUGUUAAAUAAAAUCUCAAAAUAUAAUUUAUAUUAUUCUCUAAUAUACCCUCUCAAGUGAUAGCUUUUUGGACUUAAAAUUUACACGGACUCACAUUAUCUUAUAUUUAAUUUUUAUCAAAUAAAUAGGGAUAAUGAGAUUCAAAAUUGUAACUGCUUGAUCAUCAAAUCUCUAAUAUCAUGUAAAAGAAUCAACUCAACCUAAUAACUUAAAUUAUUAAAUAAAAUUAUAAAAUAUAAUUUAUAUUAUUAUGACAAUUUUAUUUCAUAUCACUUCCUAUAAAGGGUUUGUCUCUGUUUAAUUUGUGGUAUCAACACUACAAACCCACUCAAACCACUUGAAUUGUCAAGGGAAAAGAUCCAUCAAUGGCUUUACUACAAUGGCUGAAAGAAUGCUCCAAACCUACCUUGCUCGUUGUAACUAUUUUUCUAGUAGUAGUGCUCAAGUUUCUCAUGAAGGAGAAGCUGAAAAAGAGGAAGCUCAAUCUCCCACCAAGCCCUGCAAAAUUGCCAAUCAUUGGUAACCUUCACCAGCUUGGUAAUAUGCCUCACAUCUCUCUCCGAGGGCUUGCCAAGAAGUAUGGUCCCAUCAUUUUCUUACAGCUUGGGGAGAUCCCAACUGUAGUGAUUUCAUCAGCUGGAUUGGCAAAAGAAGUCCUGAAAACUCAUGAUCUUGUACUCUCCAGCCGUCCGCAGCUCUUUUCGGCCAAACACUUGUUCUAUGGUUGCACUGAUAUUGUUUUUGCUCCUUAUGGUGCUUACUGGAGGAAUAUAAGGAAAAUUUGCAUACUUGAGCUACUCAGUGCCAAGCGUGUCCACUGGUACAGCUUUGUUAGAGAAGAAGAAGUUGCUCGCUUGAUUCGUCGGAUUGCAGAAUCUUAUCCUGGCAUCACCAAUCUAAGCUCGAUGAUUGCACUAUAUGCCAAUGAUGUUCUUUGUCGGAUUGCGCUAGGAAAGGAUUUCUCUGGAGGAGGAGAGUAUGAUCGGCACGGGUUCCAAAAGAUGCUCGACGAUUAUCAAGCAUUGCUUGGAGGAUUCAGUCUUGGAGACUAUUUUCCUUCGAUGGAGUUUGUGCACAGUCUGACUGGAAUGAAAUCGAAACUCCAGUACACCUUCAGACGGUUUGAUCAGUUCUUCGAUGAGGUGAUAGCUGAGCACCGCAGUUCUAAGGGAAAACAAGAGGAGGAGAAGGACCUUGUUGACGUUCUACUUGAUAUUCAGAAGGAUGGAUCUUCUGAAAUUCCUCUCACCAUGGAUAACAUUAAAGCUGUCAUCUUGGUCAGUGAAGAUUUUAUUGGUCUAGUUAUACCUUCAAGGCUUCAACUUCAGUGUUCCAAGCAUCAAAUUACUUGUAGAUGAGUUCAUUUGCACACAAUUUACAACUAAAGGGUAUAAUUAUUGCUCUAUUGUUGCAGGACAUGUUUGCUGCAGGAACAGAUACCAACUUCAUAACCCUUGAUUGGGCAAUGACAGAGCUUAUCAUGAAUCCUCAUGUCAUGGAGAAAGCACAAGCUGAAGUACGAAGUGUUGUCGGAGACAGAAGAGUGGUGCAAGAGAGUGAUCUGCGCCGGCUGAACUACAUGAAAGCUGUUAUCAAAGAGAUCUUCCGGUUACAUCCUGCCGCUCCAGUUUUAGUCCCAAGAGAAUCUUUAGAAGAUGUUGUAAUUGAUGGCUACAACAUUCCAGCUAAAACUCGGAUUUAUGUCAAUGUCUGGGGAAUGGGGAGGGAUCCAGAACUGUGGGAAAAUCCUGAAACAUUUGAACCGGAAAGAUUUAUGGGCAGCGGUAUAGAUUUCAAGGGGCAAGAUUUUGAGCUGAUACCAUUUGGAGCAGGUAGAAGAAGCUGCCCAGCCAUCACAUUUGGGGUCGCAACCGUUGAAAUUGCUUUAGCUCAACUCCUCCACAGCUUUGAUUGGAAGCUUCCUCCUGGUCUCGAAGCAAAGGAUAUAGACAAUACAGAAGCUUUUGGCAUCUCAAUGCACAGGACAGUUCCCCUGCACGUCAUUGCAAAACCACACUUCGAUUGACCCAAGAAGUGUCAGGAUUUUAUUAGUCUGUAACUAGAAUCUGUAAUUUUCUUUCCGAAUAAAAGUUACUACUUGUGGUUUGCUUGUAAAAAGAAAGCAGAACUUGGGCGCGACUUAACUCCUGCCUUAGUCCUUGCUGCUGGAACUUGGACCCUCUUCCACUGCAAUACUUGGAAGAAAUCAAUGUAAAACUAUUCCCAUCAAGCUUAUUCCACAGACCCAACUUCCCUUAGUGAAAAAAUCUUUACUUUUCCUUCCCUAAUAUACACAUGUCAUAAUAGUCACAUUUAUCAAAUUUAAAAUCUUAAAGCACAUCACUUGAAUUUAGAAGAUCUAUCUCCACAAUCAAAGCAAUAUGAUCAUUACCCUAUACAUGUUCAAUGAAUACACUUCGAGAAUAUAAAAAUUGAGUCCAAGAUUAAACUACGUUAACAUAAACAACAAUAAAUAAGAUGGCUUAAAUAAUACCAGAGCAUCCUAUUUUUUCUUAGUUGUAGCCAUGUCUCUUAUUUACUUCAAUUUAAAGUUUUUAUCAACAGCUUGUAUUUGUACCGUGAUUUCUAAUUUAUAUGGAGAAUGAGAGACUGAUUCUGUAGAUGAAACUGAAAUUCAAUGUUACGAGUCCUUUAUCACUUUUUUUGGUUCUCGAUAUAGUCAGUUUUAUGAGAAAUCGUUGAAAGUUAAGGCUAAUAAGGCUGUGUUUCCAAUGCCUGCAAAUGAGGAUAUGUUAUUUACUCAUGCUAAUAUUAGUUUAGCAAGGAGGGAGCUUGGUUAUAAAGCCCACUACUAGUCUGCAAUCAGGACUGAAGAAGAUAAAAUCUCUUGUAGCAUUAACAUGUGAAUUAUAAAUUGUAAUUAGUAGUAAACCCUUUUCUUAUUUAAAAGUUUUAGCUAGGCAUGCCUAAUUUGAAUACAAUUCAUUAUCAAUUUGUCAUCGCUGCUGCUUUUAUUGCUGCUCACAGUACAAAAGAACUGCUGGAGAGAAACGAUGCUGCCGCUACCGCUGAGAUGGAGCUACUGGCGUGAUUGUCGUCCAUGGUUGUUUCUUUCUACUGUGGAGAAACUUAUAGAGUAGUGGAAAGGAGAUGCAGCUGUUGAUGGAUGUUGCUCUCGGUCUAGAGUUGGUGUAGAGGAGGUUCUCGGCUGGAAAACAAAACUGUAUAUGCCUGGAGACAAACCCCUGCAGCUUGCUCACGAUGGGAUUAGAGGUUGCUAGUCUAAGAGGUUGUGAGAGAUGAUGCUCACGGUGGCAGUGCUGGCAGCUUCUGGGGAGAGAUCGCUGCUGGGGGGAGUUGACUAACGGUUCUGCUGUGACUCUUGGUUGGUUUUUAAAGCUGACGGUUGAUUAUGGAGGAUGAUUGAUGGCAGUGGCUGUGCAAGGAAGGAGCUGGAGGAUGGUUCCUGGUUAUGGGUUCUUUUUUUUUUUUUGUAAAGGGCAGUGACAAUAGAUUAUGGGAAUGAAGAAGACAAAGAAUGAGUUUGAUUUUUUGUUGCUGGUCCACUGUAAGCAGGAGACAAUGAUUGAGAGAGGUUGUGGUAAUACCUGGUUUUAUUAAUGGGAAUGGACGACUAGGAGGUAGAUGAUGAUGACGACUGUCUCUAGGUUUGUUUCAAGCCGGAAAGAUUAAGGAGAAAGGUUGCUGCAGUCUUGGUUAGGCGAUAGUAUUGAUGGCAAUGUUCCUCACACUUCUUCUGUAGCUUGAGUUAGGAUUUUGUGUGAAUUUUAUAAAAAAAAAAUGGAAAGGUUAUAGGGCUGAUGGGUUGAUCGGAUCUUAAUCUUGAUGUUAAAAAAUAAAUCUCUGUCAUUCAUUAGGACACAAGGUUUUUUUCGCAAGCAGAGCCAUGUUGAGUAAUGUUUUUGAGAGAGAAUCUAUAAGUGUUUUUAAUGCAAUAAAAGCUGGAGUUUUAGCUUAAAAUGAAAUAUGAUGAAGGGGUGAAGGAGAAAUUAGAGAUAAAAGGUGGUCACUUCGGCAUUUUUUUUUUUUUUUUUUUAAGAAAAGAAGAAAAUGAAUAGUGAAAUUAUGGUCAUUCUCAAUUUGGUCCUUGAACCUUUGACACUUUGCAAUAGAGCCCUCAAUCAGCCUUAAUCUUUUGUAUUCCUUGCAAUUUCACCUUUAUCUUUCUUCAAUUAGACUCUCCAAUUUUAGUGCUUUUACAAAGUGAUUCUUGGUUUUGAAUUUCUUUAAUGUGGUCCUCAAUUGAAUUUUAUACUUCAAAUUUCUUUCAAUUAAGCUUCUAAUUGCACCAAUUUAGCAUUUCAAAGUUUUAAUUGUGUCUCUAAUCUUUCAAUCUUUGCAAAUUGAUCUGAAUUAGACCCCAAAACUUGAUUUUUCUUCAAUUGAAAUCGUGAAUGAAUCCACAAAACCGAUUAGAAAUUUAAUUAAGUCCUUAAACUUAAUUAAUUCUUCAAGUUUUUGCCCACUUGACUUUCAAACUUAAUUGUAUUUUAUUUAAGUCCUUAAAUAAGUCAAAUAAACCUAUUAGAAGUUUAAUUAAGUCCUUAGACUUAAUUAAUUAUUUCAAUUUUGGUCAAGUUUGGAUUCCAACCUUAAUUUUCUUCCUUUUUUCAUCCUAUUUUGUCAAAACAUCCUAAUUUGGCUAUUCUUAUGGUAUUUUGAUUUUUUUUAGUUUAAAGGCUUAUCUCCUUGUUCUUGAAAAUAUUUUUAGAUUUUUUAUUUUUGAUUUUUUAAUAAAAAAAAAUUAUACACUUUUUAUAAAAUAAAUAGGGGGUUUGAAACUAGGUUAUGACAAAGAAAAAGAAAAAUGGCUUUAAAAUAGGAUAACCCAUUAAAAUAGUGAGAGUGAUUAAGUCUAGCACAUAAUAUCUACAAGACAUUAGGGGGGGAAAAUCCUCCCUUAUAUCUGACACUCUAAUCAUUUGAAAAUGUACUUCAAGUGAAACAUGAGGUUUCUUCUUUGUAAUAAUGAUUUAAUCUCAAUUUGGACUCCAUAUUAUUGUUUUGUGAUAAUGAAUUUAUUUCGUCUCUCCAAUGAUUAAUCCUUUAUGACUUUCUUUGUAUCUUUAUGAUUACUUUAUUGAUUCCGCAUGAUUGAUUUUUAAAUGUCUUUGUAUUUACAUCUCCAUUUUAUUUUCCAUAUCUCUGGUUAAGAAAAAUCUUUAUGACACAAAAUAAUAUUUUAUUCCAAAAAAGGUUGUGAUAUGGAUAUAAACAAUAAAAACAAACAUAAAGUUGAUACAAUAUAACAUAUAAUAUAAACAUAAACAAUAAAAGCUAAUUGCCACCUACAUCACGAGGAAGAUAUUCUCUAUGUGAGGCAACCUCAACAUAGAGAUUAUGAAGGCCAAGAAUGGAGUUAAGUUUAAGGUUGUAAUAUCACACCCUAGCAAAUCCAUGAAAAGAAAUAGAAAAAAUUUUAUAUGUUGCAUCACUCUUUUGAGUUACAAAUUUUCUUUUUGGUAGGAAUGCUUUUAACAUUUUAUAUGUGAUUUUUAUGAUCUAUAAGGUCAUUAUAGUUAUCCAAGUUAGCUUUUAUGGCCACAUAAUCUUUAGAGAGAUAAGUGUAUAACACUCUUUAAUAAAAUAGAAAGUCUCCCUUUUGGUAGGAAUGGUGUUCAUUCUUACUCUUAAGAGCUAAUGCAAUAUUGCGUCUAGGUAUUUUAUAAUGAAAAGCAUGUGAGCGAGACUCAGAAAAAGAUUGAUACGACAGUUGCAUCCAUAACUAGAAAUAAUUGAGGAGUACUUUUUAUAACGAGAUCUUCUCCUUCGUAAAGUUGAGGUGUUGUGUCUAUUUUGCAUGUUGUUUUGUCAUUUUUUUCAUGGAACUAGAGUUAUUUUUGUGCACGUAAUACAUAUAAUGAAAUUGUGUUGUAUUUCUUGUCAAUGGAAUGAGUAAAGCCAUUUUUAUAUGACUAGAAUAACAUUGUUGAGUGAGUUGAUGGAGAUUUGAAGGGGUUAGAGUUUCUAUGAUGAGGAUAUUAGUUACUCUUCCUUGUCCUAGAGUUUUGUAAGUCAUAUAAAGAAUAUAUAAGGACUGAAAAGGAAUGAAGUAGCGUUUAUUUAUUUUUUCAUAUAUAACAUCACUAAUAAAAUAUGAAAAUUUAUAAUAGAUUAAGUUUUUCACAACUGUGAUCUUGGGCUGGUGGAGUGGCUGACCAUGCCUGUUAAGCCACAAGUUUCUCUGUAAAAUAAGUUCUAUAUUAGAAUAUAAAACCAUGUCAUGUUUAAGUUAGUAAAAUAUAGAAGGGAAACAAUGUAUAAGAGAGUAAAAAACUUGAAGAGUAUAUUUAUAAAUGUUGGGUGUUUUGUGGGAACUUGUUGGAUUGUUUAAUGGCUCUUAGUGAUUCCUAGAAUUGUUGUAUAUUUGUUUGUGGUUAUUAGAAGUGUUGGAUGGUUGCUUAUGGUUACUAAAAGUGUUACGGUGAAAUUGUAUAUCUUCUUACCUAGCAAUUUUCUCAUGAUGUGCAAUUUACCAAAAGUGGAGCAAAACAAGUGAAAAAAAUCCAACCUAGAUGAAUAAAAAUAUUAUUUUUAUAUUUUUUUUAAGUAUUUUUAAUGUAUUUACAUCGAAAUUCAUUUAAAAAAUAAUAAAAAAUCACUUUAAAAAAGAUGUUUUUUUUGACAUUUUUCAGAAGCAAACUCACUUUGAUUGCAGAACAAAAGUCCGGAGAUUGAAUGGGAACACGAAGAGAUAAAUGAACAAGUGAGAGUUGGGGUGUCCCUACAAGGUUGUCAAUUCCAUUCCGUUUCGCCUGGAAUGGCCGAAACAUUCCAUACCAAUUCAAAAAACGGAACAAAACGGAACAAAUUUCAUCUCAUUUUAAAUCUCGGUCCGUUCCGGAUUUUUCGGCUAAAUUCCGCCGGGAACGUUCCGGUUUCAUUCCACAUGUUCCGUUCCGCUCUUGAAAAGCCAUUGAAUCAAAUUGAACCUUGUUCAAUUUAAUUAAUUAAACCACCUAAUUAUAAAAAACUAUUUUCAUUACUAUUUUCAAUAACAAUGAUAUUAAUAAUAAUAUUGAAAAUUAUUAUUACUAUUUUCAUUAACAAUGAUAUUAAUUUUUUAAAAUUAGAUUUAUCACUAAUAUAUAUGGUUUAUAUUCAUGUUGUUUUUUUCAUGUUUAUACUUUGUAGGAAUUUAAGCAAAACAAGGGAUGCUUUAGAUUCCAUUAGCCUUGAUAACAUUGACCUAACUUUUUAUUUAAAAUAUUUGUGUUAAAACAUUUUACUUUCAUAAUAUUUUGAUAUUUUGUUUAAGUUGAAUUACUUUAAGUUAAAGAUCUAUUUAAUCUUGACUAUUUAGAAAUAUUUUAAAUUUAGAAAUUAUAUUUGUUUGGCAUUGUGUUUGUAUUGCAUAAUUUAUAAUUAAUUUAUCUUGAAUUAUGUUUGUUGAAUUUAUAUAUAUAUAUAUAUGAACAGUACAACCCCAAAACAGCACGCCGAAACACUCCAAAACUGAAACAUUCCAUUCUAAUUGAAAAAAUAAAACAGUUACCAAAACAAAAUUGACAACAUUAUGUCCCUAUGCCACAAUAACAAGGAACAGUAAGUGCAGGGAAACUUCCAAGAACCAAUCAACUCGCAAAGCAGUAAACAACAACAUGCCCACUUUGCCUUCCUUUGUCAUUUCAACUUGAACCCAACAACCAUUUCCAUCCUCUCUCUAUCUCUCAUGGACUUCUCCGCCACUGAUAUCAUUCUCAGCCUUUGUCCGUAUCAAUCUACACGCAACAAUUAAUGCCGUGGAAGCUCACUCUUGUUAAGGUAACUUCUAGUUUAAAAAUCUUGUUUCUUUCCUUGAACUGGAUUUACCGAAUUCUAACAUGGGUCAGUCUAGAAUUUGGAAAGCAUGAGAUUCUCUUGCAUAGUGAAUGUAGAUUGUGAAUGUAGAUUGUGACUGUAAACUUGUAUGAUAACUGGUGUGAAUUAUGAAGGAGUAGUAAAAAGCAUGCUGCAAUUUCAGGUAAGAAUUUUGGAACUGUUUUUCUUGGCUAGUCACGGAUGAGAAAAGUCUUCGAUAUUAGAUUUUCUGUGGCAAAAAAUACUGCUUCAAUAAUGCAAAACAAGUUUAAACAAUAAUUAAUUUUUUGAAGAAUUAGGAUGACCCACUUGAGCCAGAGAAUGUCUUGCCUUGACUAAAUGGAUCUGCUUCUGCAUCAGGAUAAAAAAUUUGCAGUUGCUUUGACAGGUCCCACUUCAAUAGCAGAUAGAAAACUUGGAAAUUGUAAGACAUUGACCUGUUUUGUUUGGCAUGCAUGAAUUUCCUCGUAUUCAAAUUCAUUUUGUUGAAUUUCAGCCUCUGAAAUUAUGAACUAAUACUUGCUUUCCUAGAAAUUUCUUGCUUAUGGCUAUUGGAAACAUUUUCUUCCUGAAACAAUAUUUUGUUUCUAAACAAUGUAGUCGAGGGUCUAAAAGGGAAAUUAAUCGUAUAAUCAGGAGUUCAAUUGGCUUUCUAUUAUAUUUUUUCUCAAGUCGUUUCUUAGAAUUUGUUUUAGUCUUUAUCAUAGACUUUAAGACUUUUAAGUGAAUAGAAAAGUAUUUAUUCAUACGAAGAAAGCUCGAGAACAAAAGGUUUCUGAACGACCUGUUCUACUCAGUUCCCAUUAUGACGAUUUUUUCAUUUUCUUCAAUUCGGGGAGUGAAUUGUUUUUGCAUUCGUUGGAGUUGCAGAUAAUUGAUAGUUUGUAGCAUUAAUGGGUGGGAUACUCUCCAGACGUUCAAGCUCUCGCCAUCCUUCUAGUUCACACUCAUGGAGCCAUCACAGCUAUCCCCAGUCACCAUAUGCUCAACCAAGCCAAGAAUAUAUGCAAUACCAGCACUAUGCACCUCCACCUCAGAGCUAUGGUGAUCCAGCACCAAAUUCCAGGAGGUUGGAGAGAAAGUAUUCAAAGAUAGAUGAUAAUUACAAUAGCCUGGUGCAGGUGAAAUAUUAUUUCUUAUUUCUCUGCAUAUCAUCAUGUCCAUACUAUAGUUGUGGAGGACCUAACUAAAUAGUUGUUGGAAACUAUGGAAGAUGUUAUCAUUGAGAAUGUGUUUUAGAUUUGCUUCGCUUGGAAGAAAAUUUGCAUGAAGCUGGGUUUUUAUUUUAUUUUAUGUUUUUGACUAUUACCAGUGACAAGGUGAAUCACUCUAUCAAAACCAAGAUAUUAAUCUCUUAUGAAAUAACUAAAUAUCAACUUUCUGAUGUUAAUUAUGACAACAUUUUAUUGCUACAAAGAGUGUGAUCUUGUGCCACAAUCAACCUGUUCACAGGUUACUGAAGCCCUGGCACGUGCUGGUUUAGAGUCUUCAAAUCUUAUUGUGGGUAUUGAUUUCACAAAAAGCAAUGAGUGGACAGGUUUGACCUCAAAUGUGCAGAUUCAAGCUCUUUGUUUUUUUCUUUUUCCAACUUGCAUUAACUUGUUAGCCUGCUUAAAUAUUAGGUGCAAGGUCAUUCAGCCACAGAAGCUUGCAUCACAUUGGGGAUGAUCAAAAUCCUUAUGAACAAGCAAUAUAUAUCAUAGGAAAAACACUAUCUUCCUUUGAUGAGGAUAACUUAAUACCCUGUUUUGGGUUUGGAGAUGGUAUUUCUCAGAACAAGUGUGCAUUGACAGUUAAAAGUUUUAAUCCUCAUUAUAACUUAUAAAUGUAAUUCUAUGAAAUAUCAGCAUCAACACAUGACCAAGAAGUUUUCAGUUUUUAUCCGGAUGAGAGGUUUUGUAAUGGAUUUGAAGAAGUUUUGAGACGCUAUAGAGAAUUGGUCCCCUGUCUACGACUUGCAGGUUGCAAAUUUAACCCCCUUCUUUAGCUUCUUUCUCAGUUGCAUUUCUGCUUACUGAUUUCUCUCACUUUUUUGUUUUGUGAUAGGACCAACAUCUUUUGCUCCUGUCAUUGAAAUGGCUAUUACUAUAGUUGAGCAAAGUGGUGGCCAGUACCAUGUUUUACUUAUAAUAGCUGAUGGACAGGUAAUUGUUUUUUUUUUUAUAUAUAUUUCAUAGUUUGCGAUGAGUCACCAGCAUAAGUGUGCAACUGAUAUGAAUUUUUCACCCUUUUAAUCCCAUUUGAAUAAAUGACAUUUCAAACCUUCUGUAGAAUUUGUUUCAACUGCAUUGCAUUUGAAAUAAUUAGAAAAGAUACUACUUUGUUCUAGUGUAACUGUAAGUUUGAUUGUUGGCCAUAAACUUCUAUUAAAGAUGUAGUUUCAGGCGAGAAAGCUGCAUUUCAAGUCUCUCAUGUUUUUGUAACUGAGCAUUCUUGCUGUUAGUGGAAUAUAUUAUGUUCAGGGAAAUAUGAUCAAAAGAAGAAUUGUAAGAGUUUCUGUUUGUUUUCUUUUUUCUUUUGAAUAUUUUCCAGUGGGGGUGAUUUGAAAUGACACUUUAACCAUUAAGUCUCAGCUUUUAAGUCCUUAAUCACUGGACCAAUGGUUCAAUGGCAAUGCCAGAGUUUCUUGUUUAUUUAAUUUCUGGUUAUUUUGUUAGUGGAAUUUAGCUGUUUAGCGCAUCAGGCAGCAACUCAGGUUUAAUAGCUAGUCUUACCAAACAUCCUAAUGAAUAAGUAACUCAGAUGAGUUUCCUGAUUGGCCAAAGGGAUUAGUAUUUCCAGAAAAAUCAUAAAGCAAGUGAGAUCUCUUAUUAUUACUAGGUUUGGUGUUUGGACCUCAACAAACUAGAAUUAUAGCAACUCUGAUUAAAAUUUCUUCCAAACUCAAUAUCUUUUACUUUCAACAUCAGAAUAUGUUGUCCAAAUUUCACACAUGGUCACUUUUAUUUCAUCUAUUUGAGAUUGAUUCCAUGAUCUAUGGGUUGCCACAGGUGACAAGAAGUGUCGACACUGAGCAUGGCCAUCUAAGCCCGCAGGAAAAGAGAACAGUUGAAGCAAUUGUGAAAGCAAGGUAAAAUGUUUAGCCUUGUCACGUAAGUAAUUUUUUCUUUCCCAAAACCUGUUUUGAUGCACUUGUUAGUUUCCAGUGAGUACCCCUUGUCCAUUAUAUUAGUUGGGGUUGGAGAUGGACCAUGGGACAUGAUGAAGGAAUUUGAUGAUAACAUCCCUGCUCGGGCAUUUGACAAUUUCCAGGCAAGAAGUUUUUAUCUUCACUUUUAUUUGCAAGUUUUGCAGUUCCCUAACUUGUACUUGGUCGGUGCUAAACUGGGAAAAUGCUACCUUUUGUAGUUUGUGAAUUUUACAGAAAUAAUGUCAAAGAACAUGGACCGGCCUAGAAAAGAAGCGGAGUUUUCUCUAGCUGCUUUGAUGGAAAUACCUUCUCAGUAUAAAGCAACGCUAGAGCUUAAUAUUAUGGGGUAACUUUCAACUUCUCUACACUUCACAGAAGGUUUAUACUGCCCUUGAAAUGCUGAAUGCAAAUUGUAUUUUAUUUCAUUGCUUUAUCAGUGCUACUAAAGGGAAGGCUAUAGAUAGGGUUCCUCUUCCCCCUCCCCAGUAUGGUGCUGGUUCAACUUCAUUCAGAAACCCAAAACCUGCCCAAUCAAGCAACAGUCGUCCAAGUGCAUCUUCUUCUGGCAGACAUGAUGUGGUUGGCACAGCACUUCCUGCAAGUUCUGCUUCUGAUAAUCAUGUACUCACAGUUUCAUACCCUUCUGUUGCUGAAUUAAUAUUUGAAAGACUUCUUUCGUUUCACUUUGUGCUAGCUUCCUGAUUAUAGUCUUGCUAGUGCAUUUGCUCUUGGAACAAGAUUGCAAUGUUAUAUCUGAAGUGAGAGUAAUGAAUUUGAACUUUUUUGACAUGAGCAGCUUUGUCCCAUUUGCCUCACCGACCCUAAGGAUAUGGCCUUCGGUUGUGGACAUCAGGUAAAUAUAUUUCUCUCUCUAUAUCUCUCUAGCAUAUAGAUAGGAUGCAUCUUAUGUUAAGUUUUAUUUAAUUGCAGACAUGCUGUGACUGUGGUCAAGAUCUCCAGUCAUGCCCCAUUUGUCGAAGCACCAUCCACACCAGAAUAAAGCUCUAUUAAAUGGUAUCUACUGGCAUUCUUCGAAAGAAAUGAAAAACAAAAGAUUCAGUACUUGUCACAAGACAUUAUCUCUCAAUUGUCAUUAUUGCAUCUCCAAGUUCAUCGCAGUUAUGUCUAUGGAUGAGAGGACUUGUUAUGGAUGUGCAUAAGAGAUCAGAUGGAAGGAGUUUUCACAAGAUCUUUUGCCCUGUAAAUAAAACAGUUCUCCAUCUUCAUUGCCAUUAGCCAUCCUGGUUAGCUAUAUAGUUUGAUCAGCCUGGUUCCAUAGCCGACAGCCUUGAUUAGUAGUUGCAGACGUAGUUUGAUUAAAUAAUAUGAUUGCUGCAGUGCUGCCUGUUGUUUAAGUCUCCUCUUUCUUAAGGUUUCACCAAAACAUUUUGUUUCCAUUCCAAUGCUUAUUCAGGGUCCAGUUGGAGACCAAAUACAAGCAAAUCUUUUUUGAUUCGUAAGAUUGAUAUGAACAAGUGUAAUGUAUAACUUAGUCCAUAUAGUUUAGCAAAACAGAUUAAUUAGGAUUAAUCAACUACAGUUUGUAUGGAAAUUAGAGAAACAAGGGAAAUUAAACUAAGAAAAAAAAGAAGAGAAGGGAAUUUUUUAUUUUAUUUUUUGGUUUAAGAAAGUGAGAGAAAUAUGGUUUUACUUGUCUGGAUAUAUUAAUAGAAAAGAAAGCAAGACAAAUUUUUUUAGAAAUUCUUAGAAAAAUAUGAAUGUUCAAAAACUUCUUAUUGGUCUAAAUGAUAUGAACAAUAUGGUUUUGAAACAAUUUGAUUUUUUUAUAAAUAAAAUUAAUUAAAAGAAGUAGAAAAAAACAAACAUUAAACAAACCGUCAUUCAAUAUAAUUUUUUUUAACAACUCGAAUAAUUUUUUUGAAUUGUUAAAAGGACAACAUUGAAUGAUGACAAGUCCUAUGUGUUUUUUCUAAUUUUUUUCUAUAAUUAUUGUAUUUGUGAAAAAAUUCAAAUGUUUUAAAAUAGCAUCAUUUAUUAAAAAAAAAUUAUCAGACCUUAUUUUUCACAACCCAAUAGUUUAGAAGUAAAAGAUAUCAUUAAAUUAAUAAUAAAUUGUUCAUAAGUUAUGACAGAAAUAAAUUUUGAGAAAAUCUCAUGUUUUUGUCCCGACAUUAAUGACAACAAAUCUUGUGUUGAACAAAAUAACAUGUUUUUAAUACUUAACCACUAUAUAUUAGGUGAUAAGUUCCUAUGAUUUUCGGGCUAUCAUUUGAUAUUUAAAUCCUAAAAAAGGUUCAAGAAUUUUUUAUUUUUUAUUUUUUCAAUAUGGAUGUGGAUGUCCUUGUAUAUUAUUGAAGGAAAGCUAAAUACUUACCGAUUCUUUAAUAUCUAUUAUGUAGAAGAUUGAUAUGCCAAUAUUGUAAGAAAAAGAUUUGCCAAGAUUAUAGGAGAAGGAUCGUUAGCAGAUUGUUUCAUUUCUUUUCUUAGACUUCUAUUUUGUAUAUAUACAAUAAUACAUAAUAAUAAUAAUAAUAAUAAUAACUUUGUUACACUUUUUUUUUUAAUGAUAUCAGAGCAGGUUUUGAUUGACCUGUGUUUUAUUUAAAGUUUCCUAUAAAAAACUCUUCUAAGUCUAUUGGUGUUGAUGACAUCAACAUACCUUCUAACACUUUGGAAGGAGAAUCAAAUAAUCCAAACCAACAUCUAAGCUCAGUAUUGUUGAAUGAGCUCAACUAUAUUCCUUGGUGAGAACUGUGACAAUUGCUCUUGGUGAAAGGUCUAAACUUGGUUAUGUUAAUGGCCAUAUUAAACCACCUAAUCCUUCCUCACAAACCUAUGAAGCAUGGCAAUGCAAUGAUCAACUUGUUAUGUAUUGGUUACUCAAUUCUAUAAAGAACAAUAUUGCUGAAAUAUUCAGUUAUUCAUAAUCUUCAUUGGAUCUCUAGGAGGCUAUGAAAAAAUGUAUGGAAAUCAUAACAAUGCAAACAAAAGGGAUCUUGCAAAUCUGCAGCAAGAUGGCAAAACUUCUAUGUAAUUGCUUAGAAUGUUGAAGGGGUAUGUGGAGUGAACUUGCAUUGUAUCGUCCUCACACUAUUGAUGAUGUAGUAUUGAAGAAACGAGAUGAGAAAGACAAGAUAUUUCAAUUGCUAUCUAGUCUUGGUCCAGAUUAUGAAGACCUUUGCAGUCGAGCUCUUAUAAAUUCUGAUCUCCCAUCUCUUACAAGUGUAUGUGUUACAAUUUAACGAGAAGAAGCUCGCAAGAAGGUCAUGAAUCUGGAGCAAAAAAUCACUCUACCAGAAACUCGUGUCUAUGCUAUUACUAGACAAAUGAGAAAUAACAAACCUUAUAAAAGGAGGUGACCAGAUUUGAAGUGCAAUUAUUGUCAUAAUCUUGGACACACAAUCAGGUGGUGCUGUAUCCUUCAUCCGGAGUUGAAGCCUAAUUUUGAAAAAAAAAAGACUUCAAAAGGGUUACGAGAAUAGAGCUUAAAUUGCUACUCAUUCUAUUGAUAAUUCUUUUUCGAGUGAUGUGGUAAAUUUUUCUACUAACCUGGCUGCCCUUCUUAAUGAUUUUGCUACUUAUCUAAAGGAAAAAGGUGAUACUAGCUUGACAACUUCGAGCAAUUUUGAUUUCACGACUCUUCUUGGUAAGUUUGAUGGCUUCCUAGCAAACUCUACUCAUCUAUCAUAAGAGAAUUUAAAAGAUAUUUUGACUGCAUUUAAAACUAUUUUAGUUACUAGUACUGUGCAUAAUUUUUAGGUAAUUGAUUCGGGUGCCUUGAUCAUAUAACAAAUAAAGUGACUAGCUUAUACCAUUUUGAAAAAUUUUCUACUCCCUAAACUUUGUUUUAUUUUUAUUUUCCUAUACAUUAUUCUCUUUUCAUACAUUUAUUAACUUAAAUAUUGGAGUGUUCCGUAUUCCCUCAAGGGAUUGGUUUUUCAGGAACAACUUAGGACAUCACCCUAUAAGCCCAAGACACAACCAGAAAAAACUCAAUUUAUGUGUAAAGUUUUUUCAUGACUUUAUUAAUGACCCUAUUUGUAGAAACCAAAACAAAAGGCUAAUUUAUUUUCAUUUUAUUUUUCAUCAAAAUUCUUUUAAUGGCCGACAAAACUCUAGAAUAUGAGAAAAUACUUGACCUCCUCACCAUGGAAAAUAUAGCCCCUCCAGAUCUCUAAUAACUUUUCUAUCAAGUAUAAAUACUCGAUAAUAUUAUUCUAGCCAUACAAGAACAACUUCACACUCAAACACAACACACAACUCCAAAUCUAUUACAUACACCAGGUGUACAAAGACAACUUAAGACAUGAUAAUUCAACUCUUUAAAAGAGUGAACACUCCUUAACAGACCUUAUUUAUAAGCAUGACUAUCAUCAUCAAUCUUUUUUUGAGUCUUAAUUUUGCUCAGAUGCUGAUGCUCCUUAUCGCAAAAGACUUAGACAUGAAACCACAACAAGUCUUGAACACCUUUCCCGCAAUAUAGGAGACUCUACACUUUAUCAUAGAGUGCUAUAAACUUAUAUCUUUAAGGAUUGGGUCACCAUAAAUACCAACAUGAACAACUAUAAUGGUUCUAUAAUUCCCUGAGCUUACAUAUAAAAUGUUAGAAACAUUCUAUAAUUUGUGACACAAAAAAAUAACAUCGUGUAUAAAAUUCUUCCAAUAAAUUUUAGUAGAUAUGCUAAGAUAUGAUAUCACUUUCCUAAACCUAGCUACGUAUAUUUAUAAUCUUUAUAUUAAACUCAUCUUUCAUUUUAAUACUAAAUAAAAAAAAACACAAUUAAGCUUUUUACCACGCAAUGAAAGGAUGAAAACACCAAAGCAUAUCUUCGCAUAAUCAAAUAUAAAUGCUGGCUAAGCUUUUCCGCGCACCGUUGGACAUGCUAUACCAUGUCAUGGUCAAUUGUCAUAUUGCUUAUCUGCUGGUCUUCAACUUAAAUGACAAGUCGUCUGUUAAAAAAGACAGCCCUCCAAUUCCAUAAAAUAUCUUGAGAAAGCCCAUUACCUAAUCCAAGAGGCCCAAAAUUUCAGUCAAUAAAAAAAAUUAAAAGAAAUAAAGAAAUAAAGUUGCCUCCUCUUAAAAACCCUCUCCUCUUCCCAGUCUGCCUCUUAUCCUCAACCCCUCUGAACCCCCUCCACUCCUCUCCUCUUCCAGCUCUCCCCUCCUCUCUCUAUUUCUCUCUCAAAAUGUCUGCUGCAUCUGCUUUCACCUUCAAGCCCCUCUUAAUGGCAGAAACAUGCCUCUGUUCACUCCCUUCGACUUUCGCUUCGAAACCCCCACUUAAAUCUCUCCCUAUUUCACAAAGACCCAGCAAGCUCCAACUCUCAUACUCCCACUCUUUAUCACCUUUCUCUCUAAAACCCAAAACCCAUCUCUCCUUAACAAUCCCGUUUGUAACUCAGACCUCGGAUUGGGCUCAACAAGGAGAAGAAGACAACACCACUAUCACUUUAACUGAAUCGGAGCAAGAAGAACAAGGAGAAUCCAAUUGGGUAAAUGAAGAAAGUAAUGAUUUUGAAGGUAAAGUACCUGAAUGGGAGGCUGAAGGAGAGGAUGCAGCUGCUACCGAAGCUAUUAGAGGUGAAGGAGAGAGUGGUGACGAGGAGGGAUUUGUAGAGCCACCAGAGGAAGCUAAGAUUUUUGUAGGGAACUUGCCAUAUGAUGUUGACAGUGAGAAGUUGGCUAUGUUGUUUGAACAAGCUGGAACUGUUGAGAUUGCUGAGGUAAAUAAAUGCACUUGCUUUUUUGUGUUUUAGAGUGUUUCAAGGGUUUUAUGGAGGUUUUGUUUUGUGGUGUUGUAGGUUAUUUACAACAGGGAAACUGAUACAAGUCGUGGGUUUGGGUUUGUGACGAUGAGUACUGUUGAAGAAUCCGAAAAGGCUGUGGAAAUGCUUCAUCGUUAUGUAAGUUUCUUCCUAUAUUUGUUUUGUUGAAACUUUUGGCUAUGUGUGGUUUGGGACGAUUUAAAACUAUAUAUAAACUUAUGAUAGUUGCUAGAAAUGAGUGAAAGGGAGUAGGCAGAGUGGGAGAUGCCGUUUCUAUGCCUUUAUGGCUAGAAGAAGAAAGAUGCUGGAUUUUUGGAAGUUUCCUUGACUAAUUGAGCCACCUGUUAGGUUCGGAUGGCUGAGUAUUUUGUAUAAUAUGGGAAGAGAAAUUCUCUUUUUUGGUUGAGUAAUGGUACUUUUUUUUUUCAUUUUGAAGAUAAAAUUCACGUGGGGUUCAACUAAAGAUGUUAAUUAUAGGAGAUGAAGUUGUUACAUUACCUUCAGGAGAGUAGUUGCAUUGAGUAUUUCUGCUAUAGAAAAUGGGAAUCAUAUAGCCUUUGAUCAAGUUGGAGUAAGGAUGUCUGGAUGUUCCUCACAGGGUAGAAAGACUUGUUACUAGUAAUUGGAUAGCUUUUGAUUUUUUAAGGGUGAGGUGUCUGGUUUGCCUCACUGAGUAGAAAAACAUGUUACAUGUGAUGGAUAGUCUUGAGGGUCUGAGAUGAUUUUUAUUUAAUGGAAUUGGAUGGAGAGUGUGAGGGGUUUUCUGAAAUGGGCAGCACAGAAAGAUAUUUUACAAGUGCUGUUUGAACUGUUAUUGGUUGCUGAGGUGGGAGUCUCAUAUGACUGAAAUUCAAGCAGUUGCAUAAGUAAAGCUAAUUUGUGAACAAGAACUGUGGCUGCUUGAGUAGGAUGCAACAAAAAUAAAAUCUAACUGUUUAUUAAAGAAACGCAGUUCAAUUGCAGCAUGUGACAUGGUGGUAGGAGCUUCUUGGGUUUGGAAGUGAAAGUAGCAACAGUGAAGAGAGUUGAGUGUGGUGUGUUAGAUCAUUUGAAUAUACAAUCAGACAGAAUGUGGUGAUACCCCAAAGCAAUGUUGUUUGGCGAGUCCACUUUAUGUGCAAUUAAGGGUGGUGUACAUUGCAAAUAAUGACCAAUUAGUGUGGAGAUAGGACAUGAUAAUGCUAAUUAGAGAUUACAGGAGUAAAAGAAAAAUAUUGUUGGCCACAACCUUUUUUUUUUUGAGUUUGUCCACUGUUGUCAGUUGGAGCUUGUUGUUUUCAUAAAGCUAUGUUGUAAUCUUUCAGUUUCAUGUGAUUUUUGCACAAAAUGCUGUUUAACUGUAAUACCACUGGAAAGGUUGAGAACUUGCUUAUCUAGUAAAACAAGCCUGUUAUUUAUUGAGAAAGUAUCCUUGGUUUUGGGAUUGUUUGAAGAGAAUAAAAUUACAAUUGCAUCAAUAGUCAUGCACCUUAUCUUUGCCUGAGAAUUGCUGAUCGUACUUGGCAUGGUGGAUUAUGCUUUGCCAUUACUCUUUGUUAGAGUUGAUUCUGAAGAUCAACAUUGGUGAUAGAUGUUCUGCUUGUUAAUCAGGACAUAACUGAUAUGAAAAUCUUCAAAUCUUACCAUGAAUUUUUUCCCAAUAACCAAGCUGUUUUCUUUUUUAUUCUAUAUUGAACAGGAUUUAGAUGGAAGGUUUCUGACUGUAAAUAAGGCUGCUCCUAGAGGAUCAAGGCCUGAGCGCCCUCCUCGUGUGUCUGAACCUGGUUAUAGAAUCUAUGUGGGCAACCUACCAUGGGAUGUGGAUAGUGGUCGCCUGGAGCAAAUUUUUAGCGAGCAUGGUAAAGUAGUGAGUGCUCGGGUGGUUUUUGACAGGGAGACUAACCGUUCACGUGGUUUUGGCUUUGUAACUAUGUCCACAGAGAGCGAGUUGAAUGAUGCCAUAGCUGCACUUGAUGGACAGGUAUGAGAUGAGUGCUUACUAUUGUGGAAAUACAAUGCUGAAUUUUUGAGAUUUGUAAUUUUUGUAUGUGGAAAAGAAACUAAUCGCACUAUAAGCAUGGUUGAUUCAUGCAAGUAAAACAAUGAAAGAAUGAAAGAAAGAUGGCUGAUGAUUAGGAGUUCUUCGGAUUAUAUUUAGAAGAUUGCCAUCAAUUUAUUUCAACAUCAUGAACUUAUAGUUUGGAGAACAAAUAGAUGAAACAGUAGAUCAGUUCUUUGUCUAUUCUAUAAAUGCCCUUCAAGUUUCUGUUCCAUGAUAUACAUGAGCUUCUGGUUUUGCAGAAUCUGGAUGGGAGACCAAUCAGAGUAAAUGUUGCUGAAGAAAGACCAAGGCGCACCUUUUGAAGUCAUAUGAAUUAAAUAGAUGUCUGCGCGCCCCGCCCCGCCCCCCCCCCCCAUGUAUUUUUGCUGUUUUUUUCUUCAGUUUUGUGGUAUUAAUUUUUUUUAGCCAGUUGCAUGGGAAGCUCAUUAGGAGUUUUGUACUUGAACUGUCUUAACGUGUUCCUUAAAAAUUGUUGCGCAAAUUCGAGUACAUUGGGCUCUAUGAGAUAAUAUUUAAUUUGUUGGCACAGCAUCUAGUCUGAGAAGAUGAAACUAGUAACUGGGUACUGAAAUUUGUUAGGCCAAGCACUUCAACGAGGACGUUUGACUUAAAACUUGGUUUCAUAGACUGGCUAUGCUCUGGGCUUGCUGGUGACAAGGUUUGUAUCUGUUUUUAUUCUGGGCAUUUGUGCUUCUCUAUAAAAAAAUUUAUGGAUUCAUCUUUAAAGAACCACUUUAAUUAAGAUUUAAUAAAAAAUAAAUUUUACCAUACUGAUAUUUUUAGAUAUUUUAAACAACCACUUAUCUGAUAUAAAAAAUAAAUUAAAAAAUAUUAUGUCAAAAAACAACUAACAAGAAGCUCUAUAUCAGUUGAAUGAUUCCAAUUGAAAUAUGGAUGCUACUAGUAAUAUCAACUCACACCGAAGAAAAAAGGAAAGGCAAGUUAACUAAUCUUUUGUUUUGAGUGCUAAGCCAGCUCUUCUCAGAGUAAAAUCAUGCCUGAAGUUCCGCUGCAAAUUAGGACAGGAAGUUUAAUCAUGUCGUGGGGUUAAUGCCUGUCAACUGGAAAGGCAACUACUAAGGACGACCUGUCAUAAUAGAUGUACAAACAGAUGCUUCCUCUGAAAAGUAAGCUGAAGGUCUUGAAAUGAGAUGAUAUAAACAUAAGAUGAUCAGCAUCUACUAUUUACAACUUCAUCAAUGCAGGAGCUUAGGAGGAUUUGUCAACACCAUACUUGACAGAAUCUCGUACAUAUGUACAAAUCCAAAACAACACUGAUGGAACCAGCACUUCACCUACAAAAAAAAGACAUCCGAAACCCCGCAAUUGGGCACCUAAUAACCCCGCAAUUGGGCAUCUCUACUUGUUAAAGGGACAUAACGGACAGAAGUUUCACUACGAACACUAAUGGAACCAUCCUCAUUCUUGUCAAUCACCUUCAAAUCCUGGAAUAUGUUACCAACCGGAAUCACCAUCCUGCCACCAGGUUUCAACUGAUCAAGAAGUGGCUGUGGGAUUUCUGGCGCUGCUGCCCCAACAUGAAUGGCAUCAUAUGGAGCAAACUCUGGCCAACCUUGUCUUCCAUCUACAGAUAGCAACAUUAACAUCAGAGCUUAGUUACUAACAAUUUUUAAGCUGGUUUCUUUUGGAAAAUUUAUCAGUGGAGAAUUCAACGUGUUUCAGCAAGCACAUCAAGUUAAACAAACAAAAACUGUCAGGGAAAUCCAUUCUUAAUGAGCUUUACUUACAGGAGAUAGAACACUAACAAAAAUUAAAAAAGAAGACUUCCAUAUGAAUUCCUAUUACAAUUUGUUCUUUUUCCGAAUAAUCUUCACCUUAAUAAGUGACGUGAAAAUCUAAAGUUAUUGCUCUGUUGCUGCCAAUAGAUUAGCCUACAAAACAUUUAAUAUGUUGUAGGAAAACAUAUUAUUAUUUGCAAGGUUCGAAACAUACCACCAACAUGAAUUGAGAGGGAACCUUCUUUCAACAAUGGAGCUGCUGCGCUUUUCUUGAUAUUCUUUAUGGAAGAACCAGCCAGCUCUGGAAUAUGUUCUACACCAACAGCACGACCUUGUGGUCCAACCAUCAGAGCAAAGCAUGCUGUCAAGUACCCAGUCCCUUCAAAAGUAAACAAAGUGAGAAACACAGGAUGGGAUUGCAUGCAGAGAGAAACUUUCUAGAACGAUAAAUGCAUAUGACUUGCAUUUUUCUUAAAGAAUCUACUGCAUUACAGCCAUGCUAAGCAAGCCGAUUUGUGGAACAAGUUUACAAUUUAGUAAUAUGCCUGCGGUCUCCCAAAAGCUUGCACAGCAAGAGACAAUAAUCAAGACCAUUGAGUUCAAUGGACUGUAGUAAAAAGCAAUCGAAAAAAUUUAGAGAAAAUGAGCAAAUUAAAACAAAUUUCUAAAGUUGCUUUGCUUCUUGUGGUUAAAAAAUUACUAGUUCUAGUCCACUUCCUUGAUGAAUCAGGAUUUGUAAAUCAAAAUUCCCUUACUGUUUCAAGACCCUGCUUAGAUCAAACUAGGAAUAUCUGGUCACACAGAUUAAGAUCCUAAACUUGUUCAGCAUCACAAACUAUAGCAUUAUCCAAUAUUUUUAUAUGCUUAAUGCCUAGUUAUUUCACACAGCUAAAAUCAUCAUGUUUGUGGGUUAACACUAACUCUUCAGGAGUCCUAUACACACAGAUUUUUUGUAGGUGGGAAAAAUAAUGGAUGCAUGAGAAAAAAACCUGAGCCAACAUCCAGGACAUGCAUGCCAGACUUCAAAUUCUCCUCCAACAACUGCAGGCAAGUUGCAUGCAUAUGAGGAGCAGAAAUGGUGGCAUUGUAACCUAUUGCAAUGGGACUGUCAACAUAAGCAGGGGUACCAUCUGGGACAAACAAAGCCCUGUCAAUUGUUUCCAUUACUUCAGAGACCUUUUUAGAACUGAUCGUUCCAUAAUUCUGCAAUUGCUCCACCAAUGCUUUAUUUUUAUUGAUGCUACUUCCAGACCAGAAUCGCUGGAAAUUGCCAAAAGGAAUGUUUAAAGCAUUAUUCAAACAAAAAUAUGAUAACACUCAUGUCUAACAGGAUGCACCAAUCAUUCGUAUAUAGAUAAGCACAUAAAAGCUCAAUUAUUCAUAUAUAGAUAAGAGCAGCUGAUAUCAGCAGCGCUGCAACCAGGAAGCAUGGCAAUAAACACCACUAUUUACAAGGCAAAGACACAAGAAUGCAUUAACCUCGGGUAGAUAGCAUGGAGCUGAUAUCUUCAAAGGAAAUAUCUUCUCAUGAUUGACCUCCACAUCAGAGAUGGCUAUGGGCUGACUUUUUAGGUCUAAAGAACCUGGGCUAGUGCAAAAUUGUGUACCACUAGUAAAAAAGUAACGAGUCCCAGUAACAAAAGCUAUUAGGACAUAGUAUGUUCACCGAACUUGAAAUAGUUUUCCCUGAAAUUAUGUGCCUCAAACAUCCCAAAAAGGAUUGGCAUUUAUUGAGAACUCAUCUCAAAAAGUUCUUUCAGAAGACAACAAUCUGAAGUCACCAUACUUUUGUGCAUAAGCAAACCCAUCAAUCCUAUUUUCUACAACUUUAUCAAGGACUAUAUUUAAAGAUACUUCAAGUAAAAACUCAAAGCCCUUGGGUUCUAUUGUUUCAAAGUACCUAAAAAUGUAUUUGGUGAUAAGUCAAGCAGCCAUAGCUGAAACCAACCUGCAUGAGGGAUACUUUUAUCUUUCUGUUGAGAACAGUAUAACUUAAAAGUGUUGCCUAAACUUACUCAUAACCACUGCGUUGAAUUUCUACUUGCAUUCUAAACAAAGUGAUUAGCGAAUGAAUUUUAGUUCGCCCUACCAACCAACUUUGACUGUCAAACCAUUCGAUAGCCAAUUUUAAGGAACAAUGCCCCGGCAUUACAACUCCAGAUCAUAUGAAUUCUAUUACAAGACAAAUUCGUCACUAGAGAAAUCAUAUGUGAACAUAGCAACCCAUCAAUUCAGAAAAGAAAAUAGUAAGAUUUUAUGGGAAAAGAAAGAAAAUCUGAAAAGGAAGAAAAUACACAUCAACCAAUUCACAGAAAGUAGUGAUCAACAAGAAAAAUAGACCACUAUCUUUUAUAAAUAUGCGUGUGUAUCUCAAAACAUAAAAAACAAUUUCAUGGAUUUCUCCUGAUACAAACACAAUAGCUCAUUUCUACACUUCAAAAAAAAAAAACAAAUCUAUUAAAAGCCCAAAAACAUACAGAUUCCGAAAACAUCAAACAAACAAAAUAUUAAAUUCAACAUAGCUAAAACGAAUAAAGCUCACUACUUUGUUGUAAUACAACCACAAAAACAAUCAUUUCUCUACUUUAGCA